rnacentral:rRNA from 2 species
AACGCUGGCGGCGUGCCUAAUACAUGCAAGUCGAACGAACUCUGGUAUUGAUUGGUGCUUGCAUCAUGAUUUACAUUUGAGUGAGUGGCGAACUGGUGAGUAACACGUGGGAAACCUGCCCAGAAGCGGGGGAUAACACCUGGAAACAGAUGCUAAUACCGCAUAACAACUUGGACCGCAUGGUCCGAGCUUGAAAGAUGGCUUCGGCUAUCACUUUUGGAUGGUCCCGCGGCGUAUUAGCUAGAUGGUGGGGUAACGGCUCACCAUGGCAAUGAUACGUAGCCGACCUGAGAGGGUAAUCGGCCACAUUGGGACUGAGACACGGCCCAAACUCCUACGGGAGGCAGCAGUAGGGAAUCUUCCACAAUGGACGAAAGUCUGAUGGAGCAACGCCGCGUGAGUGAAGAAGGGUUUCGGCUCGUAAAACUCUGUUGUUAAAGAAGAACAUAUCUGAGAGUAACUGUUCAGGUAUUGACGGUAUUUAACCAGAAAGCCACGGCUAACUACGUGCCAGCAGCCGCGGUAAUACGUAGGUGGCAAGCGUUGUCCGGAUUUAUUGGGCGUAAAGCGAGCGCAGGCGGUUUUUUAAGUCUGAUGUGAAAGCCUUCGGCUCAACCGAAGAAGUGCAUCGGAAACUGGGAAACUUGAGUGCAGAAGAGGACAGUGGAACUCCAUGUGUAGCGGUGAAAUGCGUAGAUAUAUGGAAGAACACCAGUGGCGAAGGCGGCUGUCUGGUCUGUAACUGACGCUGAGGCUCGAAAGUAUGGGUAGCAAACAGGAUUAGAUACCCUGGUAGUCCAUACCGUAAACGAUGAAUGCUAAGUGUUGGAGGGUUUCCGCCCUUCAGUGCUGCAGCUAACGCAUUAAGCAUUCCGCCUGGGGAGUACGGCCGCAAGGCUGAAACUCAAAGGAAUUGACGGGGGCCCGCACAAGCGGUGGAGCAUGUGGUUUAAUUCGAAGCUACGCGAAGAACCUUACCAGGUCUUGACAUACUAUGCAAAUCUAAGAGAUUAGACGUUCCCUUCGGGGACAUGGAUACAGGUGGUGCAUGGUUGUCGUCAGCUCGUGUCGUGAGAUGUUGGGUUAAGUCCCGCAACGAGCGCAACCCUUAUUAUCAGUUGCCAGCAUUAAGUUGGGCACUCUGGUGAGACUGCCGGUGACAAACCGGAGGAAGGUGGGGAUGACGUCAAAUCAUCAUGCCCCUUAUGACCUGGGCUACACACGUGCUACAAUGGAUGGUACAACGAGUUGCGAACUCGCGAGAGUAAGCUAAUCUCUUAAAGCCAUUCUCAGUUCGGAUUGUAGGCUGCAACUCGCCUACAUGAAGUCGGAAUCGCUAGUAAUCGCGGAUCAGCAUGCCGCGGUGAAUACGUUCCCGGGCCUUGUACACACCGCCCGUCACACCAUGAGAGUUUGUAACACCCAAAGUCGGUGGGGUAACCUUUUAGGAACCAGCCGCCUAAGGUGGGACAGAUGA